rnacentral:rRNA from 1 species
AUUGAACGCUGGCGGCAGGCCUAACACAUGCAAGUCGAGCGGCAGCACAGUGAUUGCUCGUGGUUACAGCGGCGGACUGGCGGGUGGUGCCUAGGUAUAUCCGUGUCUGCGGGUGCUAAGGUCAGGACACGGGCACUCAUACCGCAUUAGUCCAUAGGGCGAACGUGGGGAAUCUUCGGACCUUCCGCUCUCACAUGAGCCUAGGGCGGAUUAGCUAGUUGGUGGGGUAAAGGGCUACCAAGGCGACGAUGCGUAACUGGUCUGAGAGGAUGAUCAGUCACACUGGAACUGAGACACGGUCCAGACGCCUACGGGAGGCAGCAGUGGGGAAUAUUGGACAAUGGGCGAAAGCCUGAUCCAGCCAUGCCGCGUGUGUGAAGAAGGUCUUCGGAUUGUAAAGCACUUUAAGUUGGGAGGAAGGGCAGUAAGUUAAUACCUUGCUGUUUUGACGUUACCAACAGAAUAAGCACCGGCUAACUUCGUG